GCUUUACGAAUCGUAGAGGGCCCCCUUAAAAGGGUCCAAUUUGUUAGAGUCGAGUUGCUUGAGAGUGCAACUUAAAGUGCGAGGUAAACUACUCGUAAGGCUAGCUUUAAAUACGGCUACGACACCGAUAGCAAACAAGUACCGUGAGGGAAAGUUGAAAUAGAACUUUGCAGAGAGAGUUAACAGGGCGUGAAACCGUUAAUUGGCAAACGAAUCGGAGCCACGAAGUCGUUUCGUUGUUUAGCCUCGGACUAGGUUCAGCUUGGAAUUCGUUCUGGGUGUAUUCCUGUGUCUGGCCAAACUUUGUAAGCGUACACUGCAACCAGUUAGACGAUUGGAUAUGGAAGUAGUUGCCAGGUAAGAGGCCUUAAAAACUUCAACUGGUAGCGUAGUACUUGUUUGUCUGGAUUAGUAGUAGUGCUGUGUGUCUUCGGAUGCAUUGGUGUUGCUGGAUCUAUGGCAAGUGAACUAUAACCAAAUACUGACUGGCACAAUGAAAAUCACCUUGUGUGUAAAAUAAAAUGCAGUUUGCAGUACAGAUGUCUACACAUUCAGCUGCGUGGUCUUAAGCUCAGCAUUUUUAAAUUCAGACCUGCUUGCUACCAAUGGGGCAACUCUUGGUGCUUGUAUGGCUUCUGUCUAAUUGGGUGUUGACUUGGCUAUGUAUGUCUGUGGUGUGAAUCGAUAGGAUGUUUGUGCUAGCAGAUUCGCUAGAAUGGCAGUGAGUA
rnacentral:rRNA from 1 species